rnacentral:rRNA from 1 species
AUGUUGCUGGUGCUCGACGUUCUCCAUCGAUUGGUUAGGCCGUCGCCUGCGACGAAGAAGAGGAGGGAGGACGCGAUGAUGCUGUCUGGGGCUGAUCCAUCUGCCGCGGUCGCUCCUUCGUCCGUGGGGAGGGGAGGUGAUGGCGUUCACACCUCCCCUGCUCGGUCAUCCUCUGGAAGCCUCGAGAAACGCCCUGACGGGGCGCCUGCCCUCAUGGCCCCGCUGGCUCCAGAGGUGCCGAUACCUAAUGUUGUUGCUGAGGUACCCAAGGCUCGGGAGCCCCCAGUCUCCCUAGCCAUGGCUACACCGCCGCCUCCUCCUUUUGCUGCGCUGCUGGUUCCAGGUUCUUCCGCCUCCUCUGAUGUCUUGGAGCGUUCCCUCUCUGAGAUGGCCCAGCUACGAGAAGGUCUCGAGGGCGCCGACUCCCAUCUGGUGGCCGGGCAUCUGGAGCUGGUUUCUGGCUGGGUUCACUCUGACGCCUCUGUCCGAGCGGCGCUGGGGCGGGCCGCGGCAGCCUCUAAGAAGGAGAAGCAGGUUGCCACCUAA